UUUUUAGUUACUAUAUAAAUCAAUAUUUCUUAUACCAUAUAAAAACAAUAUAUUCACUAAUAUGUAUAUAAUGAAAAAAUAAAUAUCAAAUGCUAAAAAACUAAGAAUAAAAAUGUUAACAAAAUACAUUUUUUUAAAGAAAGAAUAUUGUAACUAUAUUAGUAUAGUACCAAAAAAGAGGGGGUACCACCCAUUUACAAGAGAUUUACAAACUAGUUAGUAUAUCAAGGACAUCCCCAAAAUCCUCAACCUUAAUGAUGUCAUGACCUAACACAAGAAAACUAAAAUAAUUGAACUAUCUCGCUCUUAACUCGUUAAAUAUUAUUCACAACUCCUUCAAAAGCUCUCAAGUUCCUCUCUUUCCAUAAGACCCAAAAAAUGGAUAGGGGGAGGAGAUUCGCAAUUUCUGUUUUUAGUCCACACCCUCCCAAGCCCAUAUCUCAUCCUCAAUUGACCCAGCAGGAACCCAACAGAUGCGAAGCAAGCCAUACACCAAGCUCCCCAAUUCAGAAGCAAAAGGACAUCUAAGCAAAAGGUGGCAGCAGUUUUCCUCAUUCCUAAGGCAGGAUGAAACAUCCAUUUGCAAGUGUAAGACCCCU
rnacentral:lncRNA from 1 species